ensembl:lncRNA
CACUCUAACCUUAAAUCCUAACCCCUAGCCUAAAUAACGUUAUUGUUAGUCACCUAGCUAACUUUAUUGUUAGCCACCUAGCUAACAUUAAUAUUAGCCACCUAACUAACUUUAUUGUUAGCCACCUAGCUAACUUUAUUGUUAGCCACCUAGCGGACAUUAUUGUUAGCCAUCUAGCGAACAUUAGCAACAACUAAUUGCAAUUCAUAACAUAUCAAACGUAAAAGAUGAUGAACAUCCACAAAUUAAUAUUUACCAUAUGAAACAUCAUGCUAACUAGAGUGUUCUGGAUUUACAUUUAGCAUGUUACGUCUACCCCUGAGACCAGGUUGAAAGGGCCAACUUGUCUUACAGCAGUGGACGAGGGCCCAGUCGCCGAGCUGCACACACACGGACUUCCGUUUAUGGCCCUAUCGUUUUAAUUAAGGUUGGUUUCUCUAAUGGCCCUCCAUCUCUGGACCUAAAGGUUGCAUUGAGAGCGGUCACUGUCACACAGCUGUACAGGGUGAGUAGGGUGACGGCGCUGUUUUGAAGGACUUGGGGUAAAAGUACAGCUUGGUACAAUGGAACAAUUUGGAGAUGUACAAACACAGUGAAAAUUCUCCAUCGUCUGUUGGGUGCAUUUAGGGUAUUCCUGAAGUUUCAUUUGGAUAAAGGUGUAUGAAAGACAAGUAGUGACAACUUCAUAGAACAACACAAUAUACUCCUCUUGAUGAAAGAUCGGGGCGGAGGGAAGAUACAGCUAAAAUAAUGUUUUUAGCCUUGGCGGCCAUCUUUAGAAUUUGACAGGAAACGCAGAAACAUACACUUGAAGGGAGAGUGAGGUUGUUAGAGCAGCAUGUAUACCUCUAAUGGUCUAACCACAGGGUAACUACAGUUUUUACAACCCCUUGAAAUGCUCCAACCUAUGCACAAAACGUCUAACUGCAGCUGUCCCUAACUACUCGCUUCUUCUCCCUUCCUCACUCUCUCUCUUUUUCUAUUCCUCUUCAAUCCCUCGCUGUCUGCUCUCUCUCUCUGCACUCUCUCUCCAUCUGCACUAUCUGUCUAUCUAUCUGUCUAUCUAUCUGUCUAUCUAUCUAUCUAUCUAUCUGUCUGUCUGUCUGUCUGUCUGUCUGUCUGUCUGUCUGUCUGUCUGUCUGUCUGUCUGUCUGUCUGU